rnacentral:rRNA from 1 species
UACGUAGGUGGCAAGCGUUGUCCGGAUUUACUGGGCGUAAAGAGCGCGCAGGCGGUCGUUCAAGUCGCGUGUGAAAGCCCCCGGCUCAACUGGGGAGGGUCACGCGAUACUGAUCGACUCGAAGGCAGGAGAGGGAAGUGGAAUUCCCGGUGUAGUGGUGAAAUGCGUAGAUAUCGGGAGGAACACCGGUGGCGAAGGCGGCAUCCUGGACCAAUUCUGACACUGAGGAGCGAAAGCCAGGGGAGCAAACGGG